GACGAACGCUGGCGGCGUGCUUAACACAUGCAAGUCGAGUGGUAAGGCCCUUUCGGGGGUACACGAGCGGCGAACGGGUGAGUAACACGUGGGUGACCUGCCCUCAGCUCUGGGAUAAGCCUGGGAAACCGGGUCUAAUACCGGAUAUGACUCCAUGACGCAUGUUGUGGGGUGGAAAGCCUUGUGCGGCUGAGGAUGGGCCCGCGGCCUAUCAGCUUGUUGGUGGGGNGAUGGCCUACCAAGGCGACGACGGGUAGCCGGCCUGAGAGGGCGACCGGCCACACUGGGACUGAGACACGGCCCAGACUCCUACGGGAGGCAGCAGUGGGGAAUCUUGCGCAAUGGGCGAAAGCCUGACGCAGCGACGCCGCGUGAGGGAUGACGGCCUGGU
rnacentral:rRNA from 1 species